rfam:Serratia sp. Leaf50 contig_1, whole genome shotgun sequence.
ACAGUUGAACUUUCAACCCCAUGAUUUAUAUGUAGGCUUUCCCCUAAGUAUGCAUACCAAUAAAUUGCUGUGUGUAGUCUUUGCCUGUCAUUAAUGACGGGCUUUUUUUUUA